rnacentral:rRNA from 1 species
AAAGGAAUAGACGGGGGCCCGCACAAGCAGCGGAGCGUGUGGUUUAAUUCGAAGCUACGCGAAGAACCUUACCAAGGCUUGACAUCCCUCGCGAGUCUGUGAAAGCAGAUGUUCCCUUCGGGGACGAGGAGACAGGUGGUGCACGGUUGUCGUCAGCUCGUGUCGUGAGAUGUUGGGUUAAGUCCCGCAACGAGCGCAACCCUUGUGCUUAGUUGCCAUCAUUAAGUUGGGCACUCUAAGCAGACUGCCGGUGACAAACCGGAGGAAGGUGGGGAUGACGUCAAAUCAUCAUGCCCCUUAUGUCUUGGGCUACACACGCGCUACAAUGGUCUGUACAAAGGGCAGCAAGACCGCGAGGUUGAGCGAAUCCCAUAAAGCAGAUCUCAGUUCAGAUUGCAGGCUGCAACUCGCCUGCAUGAAGUAGGAGUUGCUAGUAAUCGCGGAUCAGCACGCCGCGGUGAAUGCGUUCCCGGGCCUUGUACACACCGCCCGU